rnacentral:misc_RNA from 1 species
AAAAAAAAAAAAAAAAAGGUAUGUGUGAUUGUAGCUUUCUUUAAUAAGGAGGAGAAUUAUUAGACCUUCAUCUAAUAGUUGAAUUUUCAAUCCAUACCAUCUUCCAAAGUUAAUGUGCAAGGGAUAUUGUCAUGAUUGAGACAGAUUUUAACCCAUUCAUGACCAGGAAUGAGCAUAUUGUUAAAGCUAUUGUAAUAAAUGGUUGUUUUACAGAAACCUCUUGGGCAUUUGUUUUUAUGGUAGCUGACUUGUGCUUCGUUUGCUUGCAUGAUGGGAAACAGGAAGGAUCAAAGAGAGUAGAGGGGGAAGGAAGGGAGAGAGAGAGAGAGA